rnacentral:rRNA from 1 species
AUUGAACGCUGGCGGCAGGCCUAACACAUGCAAGUCGAACGAGUGGCGGACGGGUGAGUAAUGUCUGGGAAACUGCCCGAUGGAGGGGGAUAACUACUGGAAACGGUAGCUAAUACCGCAUACCAUCGGAUGUGCCCAGAUGGGAUUAGCUUGUAGGUGAGGUAACGGCUCACCUAGACGACGAUCCCUAGCUGGUCUGAGAGGAUGACCAGGUACAUGGGAACUGAGACACGGUUCAGACUCCUAUGGUAGGCAGUAGUGGGGAAUAGUGCACAAUGGGCUCAAGCCUGAUGUAGCCAUGCCGGUUGUAUGAAGAAGGCCGUCGGGUUGUAAAGUACUGUCAGCGGGGAGGCGUUACCCGCAGAAGAAGCACCGGCUAACUCCGUGCCAGCAGCCGCGGUAAUAC